AGUAACCUGCCCUUGACUCUGGGAUAAGCCUGGGAAACUGGGUCUAAUACCGGAUAGGACCUCCUGCCGCAUGGUGGGGGGUGGAAAGCCUUGUGCGGUCUUGGAUGGGCUCGCGGCCUAUCAGCUUGUUGGUGGGGUGAUGGCCUACCAAGGCGACGACGGGUAGCCGGCCUGAGAGGGUGACCGGCCACACUGGGACUGAGACACGGCCCAGACUCCUACGGGAGGCAGCAGUGGGGAAUAUUGCACAAUGGGCGGAAGCCUGAUGCAGCGACGCCGCGUGGGGGAUGACGGCCUUCGGGUUGUAAACCCCUUUCGGCAGGGAACAAGCCUUUCGGGGUGAGGGUACCUGCGGAAGAAGCGCCGGCUAACUACGUGCC
rnacentral:rRNA from 1 species